rnacentral:rRNA from 1 species
ACGGAGGGGGCUAGCGUUGUUCGGAAUUACUGGGCGUAAAGCGCACGUAGGCGGCUAUUUAAGUCAGAGGUGAAAGCCCGGGGCUCAACCCCGGAAUUGCCUUUGAGACUGGAUAGCUAGAAUCUUGGAGAGGCGGGUGGAAUUCCGAGUGUAGAGGUGAAAUUCGUAGAUAUUCGGAAGAACACCAGUGGCGAAGGCGGCCCGCUGGACAAGUAUUGACGCUGAGGUGCGAAAGCGUGGGGAGCAAACAG